GACGAACGCUGGCGGCGUGCUUAACACAUGCAAGUCGAACGGAAAGGCCCUGCUUUUGUGGGGUGCUCGCGUGGCGAAGGGGUGAGUAACAUGUGAGUAACCUGCCCUUGACUUUGGGAUAACUUCAGGAAAGUGGGGCUAAUACCUGAUAGGAGCUCCUGCUGCAUGGUGGGGGUUGGAAAGUUUAGGCGGUUGGGGAUGGACUCGCGGCUUAUCAGCUGGUUGGGGGGGUAGUGGCUUACGAAGGCUUUGGCUGGUGGCCGGACUGAGAGGGGAAGCAGCGACAAUAGGACUGGGGUACGGCACAGACUCCAACGGUAGGCAGCAGUGGGGAGUAUUGCACAGUGGGCGGAAGCCUGAUGCAGCAACGCCGCGUGCGGGAAGACGGCCAUCGGGUUGUAAAGCGCAGUCACCUGUUACGAAGCGUGAGUGACGGUAAUGGGUAAAUAAGCACCGGCUAACUACGUG
rnacentral:rRNA from 1 species